GGACGAAGCAAAUCUUCAAACAUUGUCUGUAAAGCAACGAUUACUAACAAUAUGAAUUCUAAAUUGUUCAUUUUUGCCAUAUUGGCAGCUGCUUUGUUGGUAUCUAUAUCCGCAGCACCAGCAAUGAAAAAAGGAGACAUCGUAGUAGUUGUGGGUCGAAAACGUCGCGACGCUAAUUGCUUUCACAUUUCUGAUGGAUCUAUCCAACCAAAUGGGCCUGGUUGCCGCAAUGUCGCAUAUCGACAGACAUUACGUAAGGGGGAAGUUUUGUUAAUGGACAGUGCAAACGAAUUGAAUCGAAUCGCCCGCACUUAUUGAAAAUGUGUAAGAAUAUUGCCAUAUUGGUAUUCCUGCUCUCUCGAGGGAGCUCACAAUAAUUGAAACAUACAUUACUUAAUAAUGUAAAAUAAAUACAAUAAAUAAAAGUACUUAAAUCUG